rnacentral:lncRNA from 1 species
AAGUAGCAACAGCCCCCACCCUUCAUCUACCCAAGGCAGCGCCCGGGGCCACCAAGGCCAAAGCGCAGUUGGAGCGCGAGCGGGAGCCUGAGACUGCCUGACCUAAGCCUCCGGAGUGGGGCCCGCCGGAUCCUGAGCGGCUUCCGGCCCAAAAGGAGACGCACUUGAGUGAUCGCGAGGAGCAAACUUGGGGCUUUCAGCCUCGGGCCUCGAAGAGAUACCCCACACUGUCUACCACACAUCAACUCCAGCCCGGCUCUGCUCUGCUCGUAUCUAAGAAAAUGGAGAGGAAAAUCAACAUUGGCCUCAUCUUACUGCACCUAACCUUC